rnacentral:rRNA from 1 species
UACGUAGGGCGCAAGCGUUAUCCGGAAUUAUUGGGCGUAAAGAGCUCGUAGGCGGUUUGUCGCGUCUGCCGUGAAAGUCCGGGGCGCAACUCCGGAUCUGCGGUGGGUACGGGCAGACUAGAGUGAUGUAGGGGAGACUGGAAUUCCUGGUGUAGCGGUGAAAUGCGCAGAUAUCAGGAGGAACCCCGAUGGCGAAGGCAGGUCUCUGGGCAUUAACUGACGCUGAGGAGCGAAAGCAUGGGGAGCGAACAGG